UACGGAGGGUGCAAGCGUUAUCCGGAUUCACUGGGUUUAAAGGGUGCGUAGGUGGGCAGGUAAGUCAGUGGUGAAAUCUCCGGGCUUAACCCGGAAACUGCCAUUGAUACUAUCUGUCUUGAAUACCGUGGAGGUGAGCGGAAUAUGUCAUGUAGCGGUGAAAUGCUUAGAUAUGACAUAGAACACCAAUUGCGAAGGCAGCUCACUACACGAAUAUUGACACUGAGGCACGAAAGCGUGGGGAUCAAACAGA
rnacentral:rRNA from 1 species